AAUGGAGGAAACUCUGAUCCAGCCAUGCCGCGUGCAGGAAGACGGCCUACGGGUUGUAAACUGCUUUUAUAAGGGAAGAACCUUCGGACGUGUCCGGAGCUGACGGUACCUUACGAAUAAGCACCGGCUAACUCCGUGCCAGCAGCCGCGGUAAUACGGAGGGUGCAAGCGUUAUCCGGAUUUAUUGGGUUUAAAGGGUCCGUAGGCGGGUCUUUAAGUCAGUGGUGAAAGCCUACAGCUCAACUGUAGAAUUGCCAUUGAUACUGGAGACCUUGAGUACACUUGGAGUAAGCGGAAUGUGUCAUGUAGCGGUGAAAUGCUUAGAUAUGACACAGAACACCGAUCGCGAAAGCAGCUUACUAAAUUGUCACUGACGCUGAGGGACGAAAGCGUGGGGAGCGAACAGGAUU
rnacentral:rRNA from 1 species